rnacentral:siRNA from 1 species
GGUGGUCCCUUACUAGAGAUGAG